rnacentral:misc_RNA from 1 species
GAAAUGCGAUAAGUAAUGUGAAUUGCAGAAUUCAGUGAAUCAUCGAAUCUUUGAACGCACCUUGCGCUCCUUGGUAUUCCUUGGAGCAUGCCUGUUUGAGUAUCAUGAAAUCUUCAAAUUAAAUCUUUUGUUAACUCAAUUGGUUUCUACUUUGGUAUUGGAGGUCUUUGCAGCUUCACACCUGCUCCUCUUUGUUCAUUAGCUGGAUCUCAGUGUUAUGCUUGGUUCCACUCGGCGUGAUAAGUUAUCUAUCGCUGAGGACACUGUAAAAGGUGGCCAAGGUAAAUGCAGAUGAACCGCUUCUAAUAGUCCAUUGACUUGGACAAUACUUUUAUGAUCUGAUCUCAAAUCAGGUAGGACUACCCGCUGAACUUAAGC